rnacentral:rRNA from 1 species
AUUGAACGCUGGCGGCAGGCCUAACACAUGCAAGUCGAACGAGUGGCGGACGGGUGAGUAAUGUCUGGGAAACUGCCCGAUGGAGGGGGAUAACUACUGGAAACGGUAGCUAAUACCGCAUACUAUCGGAUGUGCCCCGAUGGGAUUGGCUUGUAGGUGAGGUAACGGCUCACCUAGGCGACGAUCCCUAGCUGGUCUGAGAGGAUGACAAGCCAAACGGGAAAGGAGACACGGUCCAGACUCCGACGGGAGGCAGAAGUGGGGAAUAUGGCACAAUGGGCGCAAGCCGGAUGCAGCCAUGCCGCGUGGAUGAAGAAGGCAUUCGUGUUGUAAAGUACUUUCAGCGGGGAGGCGUUACCCGAAGAAGAAGCACCGGCUAACUCCGUGCCAGCAGCCGCGGGAAUAC